GACGAACGCUGGCGGCGUGCUUAACACAUGCAAGUCGAACGGAAAGGCCCUGCUUUUGUGGGGUUCUCGAUUGGCGAACGGGUGAGUAACACGUGAGUAACCUUCCCUUGACUUUGGGAUAACUUCAGGAAACUGGGGCUAAUACCGGAUAGGAGCUCCUGCUGCAUGGUGGGGGUUGGAAAGUUUCGGCGGUUGGGGAUGGACUCGCGGCUUAUCAGCUUGUUGGUGGGGUAGUGGCUUACCAAGGCUUUGACGGGUAGCCGGCCUGAGAGGGUGACCGGCCACAUUGGGACUGAGAUACGGCGCAGACUGCUACGGGAGGCAGCAGUGGGGAAUAUUGCCCAAUGGGCGGGAGCCUGAUGCAGAAAAGCCGCGUGCGGGAUGACGGACUUCGUGUUGUAAACCGCUUUCGCCUGUGACGAAGCGUGAGUGACGGUAAUGGGUAAAGAAGCACCGGCUAACUACGUG
rnacentral:rRNA from 1 species